AACAUUUAAACUUCAAAGUACUUUUCUCCUGCCUACCCAUCAAGACUAGCAACCACUAAUUGAACUGUCAAGUAAAAUAUCCACAGGUAAAAAUCACACCUGGCACAAUUCACGUGUGUAAGUUGCAUAAUAUUUCUGGAGGGAAAUGAGAAAGUCCUGCUCAAGUUAUAAUAACCAAGGACUAGAACAAUGAUUCAGGUGAGCUCAUUGAAAACGUGCAUUUCUAUAGUUUUAUAAGAGCUGAAAAUGGCUGAUGAUUCCAGUAUAUUAAUGUUUAAAGUCUUACUACUAUAAAAUAUCAGAGUAAAUGAAAGUACAACAUGAACGGCUUAAUUAUUGUCCUAUAUCGAUAAACCACAUAUCAAGUUGUACACAUUAAUUUGGGAGUGCGAAAUCUUAUAAUUUCAUAUUAUUUUACACAUUGUUACUAUAACAUGAGAGUUUUAAAAAUUUUGGGGGUAUGAUUGUGCUCCUACCCCCAAAUGCCCCACUUGGAUCCAUCAGAGGAAGGUGAAAAGCACUAUCACUUAAAAUCUUUAAUGGGUGAGACAAUUAAAGACGGUCAGUUCCCUACUUCACACAUCAAACUUCUCGUAACCACAUAUAACUCAGCAUUUGGCAGUAGAUAGAAUACAAGACUUGUGCACAAGUCUACCUAGAUUAACAAAGCUUCCACAGAAAUCUCCAAGGAUUAAAGUGGUAAAAUACCAUUAUUGAACACCCAAUAACACACAGGAUAUUGAUUUCAUGCCUCAAUCCCCCUAUAGCAAUUGUCCCUACUGUUUCAACAGUGCUGGACUCAAAACAGUAACUAGAUGAAGGCAAAGAGGGUGAUCCAACUCAACAAUCGAGUUUUCCAUGACCUAACCAAAUUCUUAGAACAAUGUCCAAAUAUACAUGCAUAACCCAAGAGAUAAAGUGAUAUGCCCUUUUGUGAUCAUUUAUUUUAAACCAAAACACUCGCAUCAUUUCAGAAAACACUUUGCUUUCUGGAUGAAUCUUAUGUUUACAAACUUGUUAUUCACCUUCCUAACCAAAGAAUAAUGAUAAAAAAAAAAAGUUGGUCAAGAACGUCAAGUGUGUGGACCAGAAUCAAUUUAGGUAUGACUCACAAUACACCAAAGUUCAAUCUACAAAUCUACAUUUAUUUACCAGAACUUUUUGUGGUUUAAUUCUGGAUAGAUAAACUUAUUAUUAAAACAACAUAAACAUCAUUUUUGGAAACAUAGCUUUCACUUUUCAGAGCAACUGAGGUCUGAUUUUAACAUUACCACUGCUUUCAAGGUUCAGGGUGGGUUCCAACUUCCGGAGGCAGCAUCCAAUUCCCACUUAUAGACAACUCACAACUUAGUGAGUGGAGUAUCAACUCUCCCAGCAUAAAAUUUUCGUGUUUGGAUCUUGGAUUUGUAAGAAGAAAGGGAAAUGAAAAUUUAUUUUUUUACAGGUAGUCAAAUAUAGGCAAACCGUCGCUCAUAUGCUUCUCAUUUUGCAGGGCAACCAACCAAAACAAGGAAAUCUAGAUUCUUGUACUAUGUUUCCCUUUAUUUUUGCCUCUAUGCCCACAAAUAAAAGAUUUGGACAAAGCAUUCAGA
rnacentral:lncRNA from 1 species